rnacentral:rRNA from 1 species
GAAAUGCGAUAAGUAAUGUGAAUUGCAGAAUUCAGUGAAUCAUCGAAUCUUUGAACGCACAUUGCGCCCGCCAGUAUUCUGGCGGGCAUGCCUGUCCGAGCGUCAUUUCAACCCUCGAACCCCUCCGGGGGGUCGGCGUUGGGGAUCGGCCACCCCUCCUCUUGGGGGCGGCCGGCCCCGAAAUACAGUGGCGGUCUCGCCGCAGCCUCUCCUGCGCAGUAGUUUGCACACUCGCAUCGGGAGCGCGGCGCGUCCAAUGCCGUAAAACACCCAACUUUCUAAAAUGUUGACCUCGGAUCAGGUAGGAAUACCCGCUGAACUUAA